rnacentral:rRNA from 1 species
GACGAACGCUGGCGGCGUGCCUAAUACAUGCAAGUCGAGCGAAUCAAUGGGAGCUUGCUCCCUGAGAUUAGCGGCGGACGGGUGAGUAACACGUGGGCAACCUGCCUUUGAGGCCGGGAUAACACCGGGAAACCGGUGCUAAUACCGGAUACGUCCUCUUUCGCGCCUGCGCGAGGGGAGAAAGACGGUCUUUAAGGCCGUCGCUCAAAGAGGGGCCCGCGGCGCAUUAGCUAGUUGGUGGGGCAAGGGCCUACCAAGGCGACGAUGCGUUGCCGACCUGAGAGGGUGAUCGGCCACACUGGGACUGAGACACGGCCCAGACUCCUGCGGGAGGCAGCAGUAGGGAAUCAUCCGCAAUGGGCGAAAGCCUGACGGUGCAACGCCGCGUGAGUGAGGAAGGUUUUCGGAUCGUAAAGCUCUGUUGUGAGGGAAGAACAGCUUCCGGAGGAAAUGCCGGAGGUUUGCCGGUACCUCACCAGAAAGCCCCGGCUAACUACGUGCCAGCCGCCGCAGUAAAAC